CGCGUAGGUGGGUUAGCCAGUCAGAUGUGAAAGCCCGGAGCUCAACUCCGGAACGGCAUUUGAAACUACUAGCCUUGAGGAUAGGCGGAGAAGACGGAAUUCCACGUGUAGCGGUGAAAUGCGUAGAUAUGUGGAAGAACACCGGUGGCGAAGGCGGUCUUCUAGCUUAUUCCUGACACUGAGGCGCGAAAGCAAGGGGAGCGAACAGGAUUAGAUACCCUGGUAGUCC
rnacentral:rRNA from 1 species